rnacentral:tRNA from 2 species
GGAGAGGUGCCGGAGUGGUCGAACGGGACGGAUUCGAAAUCCGUUGUACCUGCAAGGGUACCCAGGGUUCGAAUCCCUGUCUCUCCGCCA